rnacentral:rRNA from 1 species
CUAAGGUAGCAUAAUAAUUUGUCUAUUAAUUGUAGUCUAGAAUGAAUGGGUAAACGCACACCUAGCUUUCUCAUCUAUAUAUUUAAAAUUUGUCCUAAAAGUGAAAAGACUUUUAUUAUAUUAAAGGACAAGAAGACCCUAUAGAGCUUUACAUAUCCAUCUAAUUAAAAGAUAUUAUAUGUUUCAAUGGGGUGUUGAGAGAUAUUUACAUUAACAUCUCUUAUCUCCUAAGACUUACUAGUCUCUCACUUUAAACUCCCCUGGAAUUAAGAAAAGUUACCUUAGGGAUAACAGGCUAAUACUCCUCAAGAGCCCAUAUUUACAGGAGUGUUUGGCACCUCG